UGAUAUUUUACACAUUGUGUCAUGACCCGGUCGCUAAUAAGGGCCCAAACCUGUGUGCGUAUUGUGUUAGUCCCUGCAUCAAUAGCUGACACGCACAAUCGAUGGUGAAAUAUCGAGAAGACAACACAUGUCAUAGUAUUUACAUUAAAGAUCGAGUGCUUUACAAUACAUACCUUCUUAGCUCAUGGGCUUGCUUACAAUACAAUCAUGCAGCACAUAUAGUGUUCUAGUCUUGUGGCGUUCGUCAACUCACAGGCAAGAUUAUAGCUUCGUAACCCUACUUCACACCUUCCCUUCAUUAUGGUAACCUGCAACAUUAUAUGUUGUACCCACAAGGGUCCAUACAUUGGAUGUAUUGGCAAGCUUCACC
rnacentral:lncRNA from 1 species